UGCAGAAUCCCGUGAAUCAUCGAGUUUUUGAACGCAAGUUGCGCCCGAAGCCAUUCGGCCGAGGGCACGCCUGCCUGGGCGUCACGC
rnacentral:rRNA from 2 species